GUCCACGCUGUAAACGAUGUGAACUAGGUGUAGGUGGUAUUGACCCCAUCUGUGCCAAAGCAAACGCGAUAAGUUCACCGCCUGGGGAGUACGGCCGCAAGGCUAAAACUCAAAGGAAUUGACGGGGGCCCGCACAAGCAGCGGAGCGUGUGGUUUAAUUCGAUGCGACGCGAAGAACCUUACCUGGGCUUGACAUGCACCUAGUAGUGAACCGAAAGGGGAACGAGCCUUCGGGCAGGGUGCACAGGUGCUGCAUGGCUGUCGU
rnacentral:rRNA from 1 species